GUGCUCAAUCUGGCUGCACAUACAAUAAAAUUGGAACAUACAGAGAAGAUUAACAUCCCUGCACAAGGAUGACACACAAAUUAGUGAAUCGUUCCAUAUUUUU